rnacentral:rRNA from 1 species
UACGUAGGGUGCAAGCGUUGUCCGGAAUUAUUGGGCGUAAAGAGCUCGUAGGCGGUUUGUCGCGUCUGCUGUGAAAACCUAGGGCUUAACCCCGGGCCUGCAUUCGAUACGGGCAGACUAGAGUUCGGUAGGGGAGUCUGGAAUUCCUGGUGUAGCGGUGAAAUGCGCAGAUAUCAGGAGGAACGAACCGGUGGCGAAGGCGG